rnacentral:rRNA from 1 species
UGUAACAACUCACCUGCCGAAUGAGCUAGCCCUGAAAAUGGAUGGCGCUCAAGCGUACUACCAAUACCUCGCCGCUAGGGUAGAAACGAUGCCCUAGCGAGUAGGCAGGCGUGGAGGCCCGUGACGAAGCCUUGGGGGUGACCCCGGGUAGAACGGCCUCUAGUGCAGAUCUUGGUGGUAGUAGAAAAUAUUCAAAUGAGAACUUUGA